rnacentral:tRNA from 1 species
GGGUAUGGCUCAGUGGUAGAGUUCUUGUCUAGCAUGCACAAGGUUCUGGGUUUGAUUCCCAGCAUGUCCC